GGUUCAUGAUGACACAGGACCUUGUCUGAACAUAAUGAUUUUAAAAUUUGAGCUUAAAUGACACUCUGAAAUCUAGUCAAUGUGCCUCAGUAGACUUUACAGAGAACAUUAUUUUCAAUAGAAAAUUUUGGCUUACUGUGCAAACUUUGAAUACUUAGAAAUGGCAGGUGUAGCAGUAUACUUUGCCAGUUCCUUAGACAUCCUUUUUUUUUAAAAAUGUUUAUACAUAUUCUGAGCUCAUUAUUUUUUCCCUUUUUUUAAAACAUAUAUGCUGUUGAAAGCAAAAAAGGAAGCUCAUCCUUAGAUCCCAGAAGGUACAUGCAUAUGCUGAGAGGAAGCAAGGACAUGUAAACGGGAGACUACUACUUCUUGGAUCACACAUUGGAUGACAGAGAUGUUUAAGUGAUGAUGUCCAGGAAAAUGGGGAACUAAUAUUUAUGGAAAAUAUAUUAUGAAAUACA
rnacentral:lncRNA from 1 species